UCCUACGGGAGGCAGCAGUGGGGAAUAUUGCGCAAUGGACGAAAGUCUGACGCAGCGACGCCGCGUGGAGGAUGAAGGUUUUCGGAUCGUAAACUCCUGUCAAGAGGGAAGAAACCUAUUAUGAAUAAUACUCAUGGUAAUUGACGGUACCUCUAGAGGAAGCACCGGCUAAUUCAGUGCCAGCAGCCGCGGUAAUACUGAAGGUGCAAGCGUUAAUCGGAAUCACUGGGCGUAAAGCGCUCGUAGGUGGCUUUGUAAGUCAGGUGUGAAAGCCCACGGCUCAACCGUGGAAUUGCACUUGAUACUGCAUCGCUAGAGUAUAGGAGAGGGAAGUGGAAUUUCUGGUGUAGGAGUGAAGUCCGUAGAGAUCAGAAGGAACACCCGUGGCGAAGGCGACUUCCUGGACUAUUACUGACACUGAGGAGCGAAAACGUGGGGAGCAAACAGGAUUAGAUACCCUGGUAGUCCACGCCGUAAACGAUGGGUACUAGGUGUUGGGGGCUUGACCCUCGGUGCCGUAGUUAACGCGUUAAGUACCCCGCCUGGGGAGUACGGUCGCAAGGCUGAAACUCAAAGAAAUUGACGGGGGCCCGCACAAGCGGUGGAGUAUGUGGUUUAAUUCGAUGCAACGCGAAGAACCUUACCCAGGCUUGACAUCCUGCGAAUGCCCAAGAAAUUAGCAGUGCCCUUCGGGGAAUGCAGUGACAGUGCUGCAUGGCUGUCGUCAGCUCGUGCCGUGAGUGUUGGGUUAAGUCCCGCACGAGCGCACCCCUAUCCUAGUUGCCACCAGGUAUGCUGAGCACUCUAGGAGACUGCCCGGUUAACCGGGAGGAGUGGGGACGACGUCAGUCAUCAUGGCCCUUACCCCUGGGCCUACACCGUUCAUACAUG
rnacentral:rRNA from 1 species